UGUCUAUUAAUUGUAGACCUGUAUGAAAGGCAAAAUGAGGGCCUAACUGUCUCUUAUAGUAAAUCAAUUAAACUGAUCUCCCAGUCAAAAAGCUAGGAUAAAAACAUAAGACCAGAAGACCCUGUGAAGCUUAAACUAAACUAUUAAACCAUAUAAUAGCUCCUUUCGGUUGGGGCGACCUUGGAAAAAAAAAGAACUUCCAACACACAUACCCUAUACAGGUAUAACCAAGGCCAACAAGCCACCAAUGACCCAGCACAGCUGAUUAUUGAACCAAGUUACUCCAGGGAUAACAGCGCUAUCUUCUUCAAGAGACCAUAUCAAAAAGAAGGUUUACGACCUCGAUGUUGGAUCAGGACAUCCUAAUGGUGCAGCCGCUAUUAAGGGUUCGUUUGUUCAACGAUUAAUAGU
rnacentral:rRNA from 1 species